GACGAACGCUGGCGGCGUGCUUAACACAUGCAAGUCGAACGGAAAGGCCCUGCUUUUGUGGGGUGCUCGAGUGGCGAACGGGUGAGUAACGCGUGAGUAACCUGCCCUUGACUUUGGGAUAACUUCAGGAAACUGGGGCUAAUACCGGAUAGGAGCUCCUGCUGCAUGGUGGGGGUUGGAAAGUUUCGGCGGUUGGGGAUGGACUCGCGGCUUAUCAGCUUGUUGGUGGGGUAGUGGCUUACCAAGGCUUUGACGGGUAGCCGGCCUGAGAGGGUGACCGGCCACAUUGGGACUGAGAUACGGCCCAGACUCCUACGGGAGGCAGCAGUGGGGAAUAUUGCACAAUGGGCGGAAGCCUGAUGCAGCAACGCCGCGCGCGGGAUGACGGCCUUCGGGUUGUAAACCGCUUUCGCCUGUGACGAAGCGUGAGUGACGGUAAUGGGUAAAGAAGCACCGGCUAACUACGUG
rnacentral:rRNA from 1 species